rnacentral:rRNA from 1 species
AUUGAACGCUGGCGGCAUGCCUUACACAUGCAAGUCGAACGGCAGCGGACCUUCGGGUGCCGGCGAGUGGCGAACGGGUGAGUAAUAUAUCGGAACGUACCUUUCAGUGGGGGAUAACGUAGCGAAAGUUACGCUAAUACCCGCAUAUUCUGUGAGCAGGAAAGCAGGGGAUCGCAAGACCUUGCGCUGAUUGAGCGGCCGAUAUCAGAUUAGCUAGUUGUGAGGUAAAGGCUCACCAAGGCGACGAUCUGUAGCGGGUCCUGAGAGGAUGAUCCGCCACACUGGAACUGAGACACGGUCCAGACUCCUACGGGAGGCAGCAGUGGGGAAUUUUGGACAAUGGGCGCAAGCCUGAUCCAGCCAUGCCGCGUGAGUGAAGAAGGCCUCGG